AUCCCGUACCGGCCCAAGCCGUCCAGCUCUCCGGUCAUCUUUGCAGGUGGUCAGGCCUAUACCAUUCAAGGACAGUAUGCCAUUCCACAGCCAGAUUUGACCAAGCUGCACCAGUUGGCAAUGCAACAGUCUCAUUUUCCCAUGACGCAUGGCAACACCGGAUUCAGUGGUAUGGAUACCUCAGUGUUUAUUUCUGUAAGGUGUAGUGCAAGAGAGAGGCCAGUCCCAAGGUCUCAGCUUGACAUCUGUUUAAAACAAACUUCGUUAUCCAGCAUCCUGCUGGUUUAAACUUGCCUGUCUACUAUGGCUAAGCCCAAGGAGGUAAUGUGUUUGUUAACGUGGUUUUCAUUUGGGGUCAGUUAUUCUAAAAGAAAAAAAAAGCCCUGGAAGGUUUGGGGGUGAGGUUUGGGGAUGCUUGUCAGGCAAAGGGUAGGCUGAUAUUUCU
rnacentral:sRNA from 1 species